AUUAGAACCAUAACCAUACUUUUCUGUAUGUGACUGUAAAAUAUCAUUACAAAUGUUUUCCUAUUGAGGGCAUCCUCUGCCUGUGGCAUUCUUCUAGGCACUGGGGUGGCACAGCCCCUCACACAUGGAGCAUUUCAGCUUUACAAACCCAACUGUCCGGCUUCCAGCCCGAUAUGCUGGUCCCACUACCCCCUCACCUCAAUGAACUCAUGAAGUCACCAAGUUCCCAGAGACUCCCAGAGGGAGUCUCUCUCUGACCCAUUUCCUCUGGCUUGACUCAGGCACUAUAUGAAAGCACCCAGGAUGGACAAGUGCUGACUGAACUUUUCCUGAGAGGUAUCCAGGGGCUAAGACUACACAGCCUUUCUCAGUAGCUUGUGCCAGUGGGUUUACAAUUAUGCUUAUUCUACAUGGAUUUAGAGAGUUUAAAUCAAUAAAGAUGAAGUCUACCUUCAUAUCCAGAACGUCACAAGCGACCUAACCUCUUGGUCACAAAGGGAAUAAAACUGUCUUCCUCUAUGUUCUCUUUUCUCCGCUCCUACCUCCUGCUGGAUUCUUCCCAAGGGUCAGACCUAGAAAGAAAACUGAGAGAAAAUUCUACUGACAUCAACCUGCAGAACAUUUCGUGAACCCGAAAUGGACAGGACAUUAAGCAGCAGUCAUGACCCAGCAGCUGACUCCCAUCAGUCACCUCUGGUGACAGUCCUGUCCUGAAGCCACCUCCCUCCUGGAGCUCCUACUGAAGUGGGUGAGGGGAAAGACUGCUUUCUCCCUACAAAACACUCGUCACCUCUGCUGGUGGAGGAAAUUCAUCCAAAAUAGUGACUCCCUCUAAUAUAUCUUUUUUAGAUUUUCUCAUGGACUCAACUAUAAGAAGCAGAAUCUCCUGCCUUUUACGGGUUGAGUUCAGUUUUGCAGUGAGAGAAACUUGCCUGAGCUUUCGAAGAGAGAGAAGAGAGGUAAUUAUCCUCAGGUCACGGGGGCCACAGCAGCCACAACGUUCACAAGGCUUCUGGGCUUCUUGUCAAGCACUAGGUUUGGUGGGAGAUUUUCCAGAGUUUCUUGAAAAUUGCAGCAGUUUCCGGGCAAAUGUUAGAGAACCACCCACUUAGGUGUUCAGUCUGACCUUCCAGCUGUUUCCAUGACCUUCCAGCUGGUUUCACUCUGCCAGCUCUUGUCCCUUCAUGUGAACCCUAAUUCUUAUAUUAAAUCUCUUUGUCCCCAUAACACACAGAGUGGCUUUAAUGCAGUGUCUUCCUUUAUUUUUUUCUGAGAGUUAAAUGAAUUUUUUUUUCCUUUUGGUCACACUCCAAAGAAACUUGUAACAUUUACUCUGUAGUCAAGCCCUCUAUGUAAGGUUUACUAGGGUUUUUCUUCUCAAG
rnacentral:lncRNA from 13 species